GUGCUCGCUUCGAUAGCACAUAUACUAAAAUUGGAACAAUACUGGGAAGGUGAGUAUGGUCUCUUUAAAAAAAGAACAAAAAAUCUUCUUGGUUAGGUGUAAGAAAGUUUC
ensembl:snRNA U6 U6 spliceosomal RNA